rnacentral:tRNA from 1 species
GGAGCGUUCAUCUAGCGGUAAGGAUACAGCCCUUUCAAGGCUGUCACACGGGUUCAAAUCCCGUACGCUCUACCA